rnacentral:rRNA from 1 species
CGAGUUGUAAUCUAGAGAAGCGUCUUCCGCGCUGGACCGUGUACAAGUCUCCUGGAAGGGAGCGUCAUAGAGGGUGAGAAUCCCGUCUUUGACACGGACUGCCAGGGCUAUGUGAUGCGCUCUCGAAGAGUCGAGUUGUUUGGGAAUGCAGCUCAAAACGGGUGGUAAAUUCCAUCUAAAGCUAAAUACAGGCGAGAGACCGAUAGCGAACAAGUACCGUGAGGGAAAGAUGAAAAGAACUUUGGAAAGAGAGUUAAACAGUACGUGAAAUUGCUGAAAGGGAAACGCUUGAUGUCAGUCGCGUCCGCCAGGGAUCAACCUUGCAUUCGUUUGCUGGGCGCAAUUCUUGGUAGGACGGGUCAGCAUCAGUUUCGAUCGUCGUAGAAUGGUCAAGGGAAUGUGGCACCUCCAGGGGUGUGUUAUAGCCCUGGGUCGUAUGCGUCGGUAGGGACUGAGGAACUCGGCACGAACCCCUUUGUGUCUAGGAUGCUGGCAUAAUGGCCUUAAGCGACCCGUCUUGAAACACGGACCAAGGAGUCUAACAUGCCUGCGAGUGUUUGGGUGGUAAAACUCGAGCGCGCAAUGAAAGUGAAAGUCGAGAUCUCUGUCGUGGAGAGCAUCGACGCCCGGACCUGAGUCUUUGACAAAGGAUCUGCGGUAGAGCAUGCAUGUUGGGACCCGAAAGAUGGUGAACUAUGCCUGAAUAGGGUGAAGCCAGAGGAAACUCUGGUGGAGGCUCGUAGCGAUUCUGACGUGCAAAUCGAUCGUCGAAUUUGGGUAUAGGGGCG